rnacentral:tRNA from 1 species
ACUCUCUUAGUAUAAUUAAUAUAACUGACUUCCAAUUAGUAGAUUCUGAAAAAUCCUCAGAAGAGAGUA